CCCUAGUAACGGCGAGUGAAGCGGCAACAGCUCAAAUUUGAAAUCUGGCCUCCUUUGGUGGUCCGAGUUGUAAUUUGCAGAGGGUGCUUUGGCGUCGGCAGCGGUCUAAGUUCCUUGGAACAGGACAUCACAGAGGGUGAGAAUCCCGUACGUGGUCGCCUGCCUUCGCCGUGUAAAGCCCCUUCGACGAGUCGAGUUGUUUGGGAAUGCAGCUCUAAAUGGGAGGUAAAUUUCUUCUAAAGCUAAAUACCGGCCAGAGACCGAUAGCGCACAAGUAGAGUGAUCGAAAGAUGAAAAGCACUUUGGAAAGAGAGUCAAACAGCACGUGAAAUUGUUGAAAGGGAAGCGCUUGCAGCCAGACUUGCCCGCAGUUGCUCAUCGGAUCUUUUGCUCCGAGCACUCUUCUGCGGGCAGGCCAGCAUCAGUUUGGGCGACCGGAUAAUGGCCUCUGUCAUGUAUCUUCCUUCGGGAUGACCUUAUAGGGGAGGCGUAAUGCGGCCAGCCCGGACUGAGGUCCGCGCAUCUGCUAGGAUGCUGGCGUAAUGGCUGUAAGCGGCCCGUCUUGAAACACGGACCAAGGAGUCUAACAUCUAUGCGAGUGUUUGGGUGUCAAGCCCGGGCGCGUAAUGAAAGUGAACGGAGGUGGGAACCCUCUCGGGGGUGCACCAUCGACCGAUCCUGAUGUCUUCGGAUGGAUUUGAGUAAGAGCAUAGCUGUUGGGACCCGAAAGAUGGUGAACUAUGCUUGAAUAGGGUGAAGCCAGAGGAAACUCUGGUGGAGGCUCGCAGCGGUUCUGACGUGCAAAUCGAUCGUCAAAUUUGGGCAUAGGGGCGAAAGACUAAUCGA
rnacentral:rRNA from 1 species